rnacentral:rRNA from 1 species
GGGACGGCUAACUCUUUGCCAGGAGGCGCGGGUUUACCGAGGUUCCUGGCGUUGUUCGGCUUCACUGGGGGUAGACGGUGCGUAUGUGGACGGGUAAGUCUUAUGUGAAAUCUCCGAGCUCAACUCGGAAACCGUAUUGAAUACUAUUCAGAUUGGGGUGUGUAGGGGAGACUGGAAUUC